ACAAUAGUGGUUCAGUGGUAGACUUCUCACCUCCCAUGUGAGAGACCCGGGUUCAAUUCCCUGCCAGUGCA
rnacentral:tRNA from 1 species